AGUGUUUCUGCAAUUGUUUCUUCUUUGCAGGAGGAGAGUAGCUACGUCAAUGGGAAGCUCAUACACAAGCUCACAGUGGUGCCUGCUGAGAACCUCACAGUCACAUGCAUGGUGUCCAACAAACUCGGAGAGCACAUGCAGACCAUUAAUGUGUCAUCCCUAAUUGGGGAGGAGAGCGGGAAGCGAGAAGGCAGCGCGGACGACGCGGACGACCAGGCCAAGCUGAUUGUCGGGGUUGUGGUUGGCCUUCUGUUAGCCGCAGGCGUUGUGGGCCUGCUCUACUGGAUAUACAUAAAGAAGUCAAAACGAGGCAGUUGGAAGACAGGAGAGAAAGAAUCCGGGACCUCGGAGGAGAGCAGAAAACUGGAAGAAAAUCAGAAGCUGGCAGUGUAGACGGCACCUCCACCCCUCUGCGAUGGCACGGGAAGCAGAAGAUGCCUUUUCAUAUCGGACUUUGACACCAAAUCCAGAACACCGGAGCCGUUGGACAUGCAGCAUUUCCUCGCACAGCACGUUAUGCAGAACCGUCUCAGACUCCAACGGAAUCUCCUUAAACUUCUCACCCACCAUCUCAAAAAAGUCAAUGGAAGUAUUUUUUUAGCUAUUUUUUUGCAUAAAAAUGGGAUUUUUUUUUCCAUUUUUGGUUCCUGGUGAAUGCUUUUUGUUUUCUGUAUCUGCGCAGUAUUGGCUCAGUGAGUUUCGACUAUUCCUGACACUGUCAUUGAUGUACAUUUUUAAAUGUCUAUCUUUCAUACACGUGCGCGUGGGCGCCGCUAUCCUGGCAGGAAGAUAUGAUCUGGAAUAAUCCAUGGACGACGUUCUGUGGCCAACUGGAGACUUCACUCUACUGUUGAUGUUACAUUUCAAAUUUGGCCCCUAAUAAACAUGCACCCCUCCCCCCUUGGCCCCAAACUGCUCUAUUAUACCUAUUUGGAGGAUCCUCAGACUUUAUUUUGAUGUGAAAGUGCCGGCCAAAAUGCUUGAUGCUCUUGAUUUUAUUUAAUUUUGUCAAAGACCAUGGUUAGCCUUAAUUGUGUUGUAUGUUAUUUUCGGGGGAUGACGGGCGGGCUGUUGUAUAUGGUGAAUAUGUAUCUCUUGGGGGGGGGGGGGAUGGGAUGGUCUUUGUGUUAAAUUGAUUCUGAACGUGGGCCUGCUUUGUUUGUACACAAGUCAUACUGCUGAAUUUUUAACACUAAUGUUUCUGUGAUGCCCUGCCCACGCACUACAGCCUGUGUCAUCUUACGCUGCGUACGGAUACCCCCGAGCACACGGGAUCUACUGUCCCCCCUCCCUCCCCAUUGCCCACCGUGCUGGUGUCGCCGGGGGGGGGGCGUUCUCUGUAGGUGGAAGGUCGAUGUAAAUAUGGCAGAACAUCCCGCUUUGCCUCUAUUUAUGACGUGCGGGACGAGUUUAGGAGUGUUUUUGCAUACAUUUAGGUAGGUAUAAUAAAUUUGGAAUUUUUUAUUAUCCAUUUCGAUUUCAUGUUGGAUCACAUAGAAGAAUAGAUGGUGCUGAGACUGUAUAAAAUAGACGGUUACUGGCCGCCAUUCCCCGUCGUUAGGAUUCUUCGUUAGGAUACAUCGUAGUUUCCAUAUUGAAGGUUAACGCUCAAGGUUUGUUAAUCGUCAUCUUUGUUCAUUUUAAACCAUCAGGUCAGUAGUGACACCAAAGAGAGUCAAAUGAGAAGGCCAUACAACUACUGUAAAUAUUUUGUGUUUUUUUGUACUUUUUGUUAAAUUGUACAUUUUGGGGGAAAAAAAGACAUCUGAACAAACGUCUCAUUUGCAUUAUCUGAUUUUUUUUUUUUUCAUUUUUUUUUGUUGGUUUUGCACCUGUGUCUUUACUGUACUCUGGAUAGAAGCAUGCUAUGUUUUGUUAAAAUUUUACAUCAUACGAGACUAAAUAAAUCGAAAGUUGUUGACGGUC